UACGGGGGGGAGCAAGCGUUGUUCGGAUUUACUGGGCGUAAAGGGCGCGUAGGCGGCCAGCACAAGUCAGUUGUGAAAUCUCCGGGCUUAACUCGGAAAGGUCAACUGAUACUGUGCGGCUAGAGUGCAGAAGGGGCAACUGGAAUUCUCGGUGUAGCGGUGAAAUGCGUAGAUAUCGAGAGGAACACCUGCGGCGAAGGCGGGUUGCUGGGCUGACACUGACGCUGAUGCGCGAAAGCCAGGGGAGCGAACGGG
rnacentral:rRNA from 1 species